GCCUUGGUGGUGGAAUUGGCAGACACACUAGCUUCAGGUGCUAGCGGUAGCAAUACCAUGGGAGUUCGAGUCUCCCCUAAGGCACAA
rnacentral:tRNA from 2 species